ACAAAGAUAGCUACUAAAAAUGAAGAUGUUCGACACCUGGUAAAAGAAACUGCACCUCAUAAGGAAGAUAUCUUUGUACAGAGACCAAACACCGUCACAGAAGCGCCUUGCAAAUUGCAAAUACACAACUGGAAGGCUGGAAUGGAGCAUCUGGAGAGAUUGGGGAAUAAAUCCCACUUCUUGAACUAAUCCUUUGACCAUGGAGGGAGAAGGCUAAUUUCAAUGAGAUAAUAUCUUUGUACGCUCAACUUCAAUACAACAUCCUGCUUCAGUCGAGCUUUCUUUAGAGAGCCC
rnacentral:lncRNA from 1 species